GGCCACGUGGCGAAGUAGCAAACGCAUCGGUCUGCAAAACCGACAUUCGUGGGUGCAAGUCCCAUCGUGGCCUCAA
rnacentral:tRNA from 3 species